rnacentral:rRNA from 1 species
AUUGAACGCUGGCGGCAGGCCUAACACAUGCAAGUCGAGCGGAUGAAGGGAGCUUGCUCCUGGUUUCAGCGGCGGACGGGUGAGUAAUGCCUAGGAAUCUGCCUGGUAGUGGGGGAUAACGUCCGGAAACGGGCGCUAAUACCGCAUACGUCCUGAGGGAGAAAGUGGGGGAUCUUCGGACCUUACGCUAUCAGAUGAGCCUAGGUCGGAUUAGCUAGUUGGUGGGGUAAAGGCCUACCAAGGCGACGAUCCGUAACUGGUCUGAGAGGAUGAUCAGUCACACUGGAACUGAGACACGGUCCAGACUCCUACGGGAGGCAGCAGUGGGGAAUAUUGGACAAUGGGCGAAAGCCUGAUCCAGCCAUGCCGCGUGUGUGAAGAAGGUCUUCGGAUUGUAAAGCACUUUAGGUUGGGAGGAAGGGCAGUAAGUUAAUACCUUGCUGUUUUGACGGUACCAACAGAAUAAGCACCGGCUAACUUCGUG